AAGAUUUUAAAAGUCGAACAGACUUAAAUUAUAAACUUCUACAUUUAUAUUUAAUCUUAAUCCAACAUCGAGGUCACAAUCUUCAAUUUUAAUAAGAACUUAAAAUUGAAAUUAUG
rnacentral:rRNA from 1 species